rnacentral:rRNA from 1 species
GACGAACGCUGGCGGCGUGCUUAACACAUGCAAGUCGAGCGAGAAACUUCGGUUUCUAGCGGCGGACGGGUGAGUAACACGUGGGCAACCUGCCUCACAAUGGGGGAUAGCCUUCCGAAAGGAAGAUUAAUACCGCAUAACACAAAGGAAACGCAUGUUUCUUUUGCCAAAGAAUUUCGUUGUGAGAUGGGCCCGCGGCGCAUUAGCUUGUUGGUGAGGUAACGGCUCACCAAGGCGACGAUGCGUAGCCGACCUGAGAGGGUGAUCGGCAACAUUGGAACUGAGACACUGUCCAGACUCCUACGGGAGGCAGCAGUGGGGAAUAUUGCACGAUGGAGGAAACUCUGAUGCAGCAACGCCGCGUGAGUGAUGAAGGUCUUCGGAUUGUAAAGCUCUGUCUUCUGGGACGAUAAUGACGGUACCAGAGGAGGAAGCCACGGCUAACUACGUGCCAGCAGCCGCCGUAA